rnacentral:rRNA from 1 species
UACGGAGGGUGCAAGCGUUAUCCGGAUUCACUGGGUUUAAAGGGUGCGUAGGUGGAGUGGUAAGUCAGUGGUGAAAUCUCCAAGCUUAACUUGGAAACUGCCGUUGAUACUAUCAUUCUUGAAUAUCGUGGAGGUAAGCGGAAUAUGUCAUGUAGCGGUGAAAUGCUUAGAUAUGACAUAGAACACCGAUUGCGAAGGCAGCUUGCUACACGAUCAUUGACACUGAGGCACGAAGGCGUGGGGAGCAAACAGG